GGCCACAGCCAUAUCACCCUGUGCCGUAAGACCAGUUACUCACUGAAGCUAAGCAGGGCUGAGCCUGGUCAGUACCGGAAUGGGAGACCACAUGGGAAAACUAGGUUGCUGUUGGAA
rnacentral:rRNA from 1 species